rnacentral:rRNA from 1 species
GUCUAUGGUCAUACCAUCCUGAAUGAACCUGGUCUCAUCUGACCUUGGAAGCUAAGCAGGGUAGGCCUGGUUAGUAUUUGGAUAGAAGAGCCCUGAGUAAUGGAAU